ACCUGGCUGGCUCAAUGGUUGGAGCGCCCGCCUCAUGAAUGGGAGGUCGUGGGUUCAAACCCCGGCCGAGUC
rfam:Strongylocentrotus purpuratus Contig22004_fixed, whole genome shotgun sequence.